UCAGGACUCUAUAAACAGGGGACAGCAGAGGUGGAAAUUCCACAGCUCAAUACCUGGCAGUGAUCUAGUGCGAAGAGUGAAUCCCCAGGAGCAGGCAGCAGGGUCAGAGGGGUCUGGCCGGGCACACAGGGAGAAGCGGUUCCCCUGAUAGGAGGGCAUGUGGUAGAGGCCCUAGGGCCUCCCCACAGGCAAAGGUCCUAGCAGACCCCAGAGAACAGCCACGAUUGUUGGUAUUGGAACAAAGACACCAGGGUUCAGUAAAAACUGGUG